GUAAAUCUACUGUAUGAUCAAUCAAAACACGUUUUGUCCGAAGUCCAAACUUAAUGGUAAACAAGAGGCUAAUCUUGCUAUUUUUGUUUGUUAUGUGGUUUGCACUUUCUGUUUCCUUGAACAGUUUACAGUUCAUCUAAUUUACAUUUUUAUGUUAACUUUAGCAAUUAAUUUACCUCAAACAAGGUAAUUAAUAUGAUAAUUAUCCCCUGUGUAUACCACAAGUAAGUAACUUACUGUAAUUAUGUUAAGAAAUUAGAAUGUUUGUGACCGACUGUUUAAUAAGAUGCUCUUUUCACAAGGUGUGAUAUUGUGGCAUAUUUACCCUGGAGCUAGCAUAUAUAUGGAGCUGACUUUGUUCCUGGAGGUGAGCAUAUAUUGUUGAUCUUCUCAUGUCAAUUGCAGCAGUUCCUUGAUUCACAAUUUAUAUAGUGUGGUAUAGUGGUUAUAUUUGGAGGUUUAUCCCUGUGAAAUAAUCACCGCAAGGUGAGUACUUUCUGCAGCUAAUGUGUUAUGCAUAAGCUCAGUGUGUUUGCUCAAUUAGCUACUGCUCAAUUAAAAUUGGUGACCUUCCAUUGAUGAUAGGUUUAGAAAUUAUGCAUUGAGUAACUGGACCUGACCUGGAGUACUUGGUUAAUUCAGUGAUCUUUUAACAAAAUUUUAACUGAAUUAUUUUGGGCAAUGGAGUACUGAAUUUUAACUGAGUAACUUGCACUUGCAUAUGCACUAGACCACUUGUAAAUUCUUUGGC
rnacentral:lncRNA from 1 species